rnacentral:sRNA from 1 species
CACUGAUGAUCCUCGUCUGGGUCUGCUAUUUGCUGAGGGAUGAAGUCGCUCACACAGUCACCGAGAGCCGAGUCCUCCAGAACACCAGGCACCCGUUCCUCACUGCGCUGAAGUACGCCUUCCAGACCCACGACCGCCUGUGCUUUGUGAUGGAGUAUGCCAACGGGGGUGAGCUGUUCUUCCACCUGUCCCGGGAGCGUGUCUUCACAGAGGAGCGGGCCCGGUUUUAUGGUGCAGAGAUUGUCUCGGCUCUUGAGUACUUGCACUCACGGGACGUGGUAUACCGCGACAUCAAGCUGGAAAACCUCAUGCUGGACAAAGAUGGCCACAUCAAGAUCACUGACUUUGGCCUCUGCAAAGAGGGCAUCAGUGACGGGGCCACCAUGAAAACCUUCUGUGGGACCCCGGAGUACCUGGCGCCUGAGGUGCUGGAGGACAAUGACUAUGGCCGGGCCGUGGACUGGUGGGGGCUGGGUGUGGUCAUGUACGAGAUGAUGUGCGGCCGCCUGCCCUUCUACAACCAGGACCACGAGCGCCUCUUCGAGCUCAUCCUCAUGGAAGAGAUCCGCUUCCCGCGCACGCUCAGCCCCGAGGCCAAGUCCCUGCUUGCUGGGCUGCUUAAGAAGGACCCCAAGC